rnacentral:rRNA from 1 species
GAUGAACGCUGGCGGCGUGCCUAAUACAUGCAAGUCGAACGAAUCUUCUUCGGAAGAUGAGUGGCGAACGGGUGAGUAAUACAUAGGUAACCUGCCCCUGUGCGGGGGAUAACAGGAGGAAACUCCUGCUAAUACCGCAUAGCCAUGAGCACCGCAUGGAGCUCAUGCCAAAUAUCCUUUCGGGGAUAGCGCAGGGAUGGACCUAUGGCGCAUUAGCUGGUUGGCGGGGCAACGGCCCACCAAGGCAACGAUGCGUAGCCGGCCUGAGAGGGGGGACGGCCACAUUGGGACUGAGACACGGCCCAGACUCCUACGGGAGGCAGCAGUAGGGAAUUUUCGGCAAUGGGGGAAACCCUGACCGAGCAACGCCGCGUGAGCGAAGAAGGCCUUCGGGUCGUAAAGCUCUGUUGUAAAGGAAGAACGGCGCAUACAGGAAAUGGUAUGCGAGUGACGGUACUUUACCAGAAAGCCACGGCUAGCUACGUGCCAGCCGCCGCGGUAA